rnacentral:tRNA from 1 species
GUGAGAGUAGCUCAGUAGGUAGAGCAAAGGUUUGUGGGACCUAGGGUCAAGAGUUCGAGUCUCUUUUUUCACA